rnacentral:rRNA from 1 species
GACAGAGGGUGCAAACGUUGUUCGGAAUUACUGGGCGUAAAGCGCGUGUAGGCGGCUAAGUAAGUCGGGCGUGAAAUCCCACGGCUCAACCGUGGAAGUGCACUCGAAACUGCAUAGCUAGAGUCCUGGAGAGGAAGGUGGAAUGCUUGGUGUAGAGGUGAAAUUCGUAGAUAUCAAGCGGAACACCGGUGGCGAAGGCGGCCUUCUGGACAGUGACGUGACGCUGAGACGCGAAAGCGUGGGGAGCAAACAGGG